GACAGAGGGUGCAAACGUUGUUCGGAAUUACUGGGCGUAAAGCGCGUGUAGGCGGCUUGGCAAGUCGGGUGUGAAAGCCCCGGGCUCAACCUGGGAAGUGCACUCGAAACUGCCUCGCUUGAGUGUCGGAGAGGGAAGCGGAAUUCUCGGUGUAGAGGUGAAAUUCGUAGAUAUCGAGAGGAACACCGGUGGCGAAGGCGGCUUCCUGGACGACGACUGACGCUGAGACGCGAAAGCGUGGGGAGCAAACAGGAUUAGAUACCCUGGUAGUCCACGCCGUAAACGAUGGGUGCUAGGUGUCGCGGGCAUUGACCCCUGCGGUGCCGUAGCUAACGCAUUAAGCACCCCGCCUGGGGAGUACGGCCGCAAGGCUAAA
rnacentral:rRNA from 1 species